rnacentral:misc_RNA from 1 species
UAGCCAACCGAAAUUAGUUUGGGUUUAAUGUUUAGCUCAAUCAAGUUCACUACUACUACAACUACUACCAUGACAAUCGCUGCUGCUGCUGCUACUACUUCUUCUUAAUAAAAAUUGAAAUUUCCCACGCAAGGACAUGAAAAUGUAGAUGAUGAUGCAUCCUAUCCAACACAGGAUGACAAAAAACACAAAAAAACAAGAAUCAAAGAGUAGUCCAGUUGAA